rnacentral:sRNA from 1 species
GAUCCUCAUGCUGACGGGAAAGAUAGACGUAAGGCACGAAAUGGGGAUCAGGAUAUACACCCUUAGAUAAUUACAAAUAAUCGAAAGCCUCGCCCUUUAAGGCGGGGAGGAGGUCAGUUGGUAACCUCUC